UGGGGAAUAUUGCACAAUGGGCGCAAGCCUGAUGCAGCAACGCCGCGUGCGGGAUGACGGCCUUCGGGUUGUAAACCGCUUUCAGCAGGGACGAAGCUUUUUGUGACGGUACCUGCAGAAGAAGCACCGGCUAACUACGUGCCAGCAGCCGCGGUGAUACGUAGGGUGCGAGCGUUGUCCGGAUUUAUUGGGCGUAAAGGGCUCGUAGGCGGUUGAUCGCGUCGGAAGUGGAAACUUGAUGCUUAACGUUGAGCGUGCUUUCGAUACGGGUUGACUUGAGGAAGGUAGGGGAGAAUGGAAUUCCUGGUGGAGCGGUGGAAUGCGCAGAUAUCAGGAGGAACACCAGUGGCGAAGGCGGUUCUCUGGACCUUUCCUGACGCUGAGGAGCGAAAGCGUGGGG
rnacentral:rRNA from 1 species